rnacentral:misc_RNA from 1 species
AACCGGAGCGGCUGCAGACACAGUCGCCCACGCGUGAACACGCAAUGGCAAAGGCAGCGUCUCUCAAAAAGGGCAGCGGCGACAAGCGCCCCAGGGAGGCAUCGUUGGAGGUGACGGCCGGGAAGCCUAAGGUAGAAACGGCAGCUGUGCUGCCCAAGGCUUCGCACGGCAGCCAGGCGCACCCGAACUUCUUCUCCUGGCUAUUAAAGACGUCCCGCGGGGAGUUCUUCCGCAAGUACUUUGAAAGGAAGCAUCUCGUUGCUUCGCACGGGAGCGGCGAGUACUUUGCAAGCGGCCUUCCCGGUGUCGUACCCCCGGUGAACUGGUCCACGGAGCGCAUGCUAGAUCACGUCAAGACGCACCCGUCACGCUACGGCGCCGACCUCGACGUUGUCAAGUUCGACCCCAAGCUCAAAAGGCGUGUCUCCUUCAGGACGAAGGGUCUCGUGGAUGCGGCCGAGCUGGAGACGUGCAUGAAGGGCGGGUGGUCCGUGCGCUUCCUGCGACCCAACGAGUUCAUCGAGAGCAACUCCGCCUUCAUCGGAUGCAUGGAGAAGGAGUUCAACUGCUACUGCGGCGUGAACAGCUACUGGACGCCGGCCAACAGUCAAGGCUUCGCGCCGCACUACGACGACGUGGACGUGUUCCUUCUGCAGCUGGAGGGCGAGAAGCUGUGGUGCCUCUACGACCCGCCGGAGGACGUCGAUGUGCUCGCGCGCCACUCGAGCGAGGACUACGCGCCUGAGCUGUUCCCCACACCCAAGCACACCAUCACCCUGAAGGCCGGCGAUGUGCUGUACAUGCCGCGCGGCACGGUACACCAGGGCAAGACCACACUCAAGACGCACUCGCUGCACAUCACCUUCUCGGCCAACCAGAUGAACUCGUGGGCAGACUUCAUGAGCCGCGCCGCACAGUACACAGUGGAGAAGCUCGCCGCCAACAAAAUGGAAUGGCGUCGUGCCCUGCCACGCAGUAUGCCGCAGGUGGUGGGUGAGGUUAACAACCCCGUCUUUCGCGACACCCAUGGCCUUGCCGCGCUCAGCGAGAAGCAGCAGGAGCACCGCGCCAACCUACAGACAAAGGUGCGUGAGAUGGUGGCGGAGUUGACGCUGCUGCUCACCGACGAAGGGAACAUGGACAUGUGCGCCGACGUGUACGCCAAGGAUACAAUCCGAAAGCUGCAGCCGCCGUCCAGGACGUACAGCGGCGCGGCUCCGGCGUCGACAAGGCUCAGCCACGCCUCCCGGGUGCGCCUCAUCUCUCGCAACUGUAUGCGGCUGCUGCUGAACGUGCCCGGCGAAGCUCGGGUGUACCACACGGGGCGAAACUCGACUGUCUGCCUUGGCGGGGAGUUGGGCGAGCUGCGCUUUGAGGCAGACUUUGCGCCAGCGAUUGCCACGCUGCUCUCGAGCUACCCCAAGACGAUGCCUGUGAGUGCGCUGCCCUUCCCGGGCUUCGACGAUUCCGACGAUGUGGCCGAGAACCAACUGCUGCUGGUCGAGACUCUGCGGGAUGCCGGGCUUCUGCACGUGGGGUCCUCCGCUAACGGUAACGCACCGAGCUAGGGACUCAGCACUAGUGUAUUACCAUCCCCACAUUGCUGCACGGUCUUCGUCUUUGCCCAACUCUGCUCGUGAGUUGUCGCACGCACACAAAAGGAGCUGGCUGGAACGGGAACGGGAAAUGACCUCUCGAGGAGAGAGACAUCAGCGCAGGCGGUCGUUGGCGGCGGCCUUCCCAACAAAACAAAAGCGUACAUCCUCCUGCGCUGCAAUUGACACCCUACCGCGCUGAUCGGCUGAAAAAGAGGGGGAGGGGGAGAGGGUUUCACGUAUUCUGCGGGUCUAAAGACGGCAGCACUGAGACAGAAGAACGCAUCGGGUCUUGUGCGCUGCAAUGCUCUUCCCUCGUCCACCCCACGCCUCCCGUCUGUAGGCUGCUCGCCCCUGGGAUGGCCUCGCUGCUCGCCUCUUCAUCCCUCUGCACUCUCUGCGGAUUUCAUUCGUUGUCGCGGUUGCCUUUCGAGUGUUUCGCAGUGCCCGCCACGGGCCAAAGCGUCCUCGUAAACGUGUUCUCCG